GACGAACGCUGGCGGCGUGCUUAACACAUGCAAGUCGUACGGUAAGGCCCUUUCGGGGGUACACGAGUGGCGCACGGGUGAGUAACACGUGAGUAACCUGCCCACAACUUUGGGAUAACGCUAGGAAACUGGUGCUAAUACUGGAUAUGUGCUCCUGCUGCAUGGUGGGGGUUGGAAAGCUCCGGCGGUUGUGGAUGGACUCGCGGCCUAUCAGCUUGUUGGUGGGGUAGUGGCCUACCAAGGCGGCGACGGGUAGCCGGCCUGAGAGGGUGACCGGCCACAUUGGGACUGAGAUACGGCCCAGACUCCUACGGGAGGGAGCAGUGGGGAAUAUUGCACAAUGGGCGCAAGCCUGAUGCAGCAACGCCGCGUGCGGGAUGACGGCCUUCGGGUUGUAAACCGCUUUCAGCAGGGACGAAGCUUUUUGUGACGGUACCUGCAGAAGAAGCACCGGCUAACUACGUG
rnacentral:rRNA from 1 species